AUCCAGCUGACGAGUUCCAAAUACGACGAAACGUCUGUUCUGGAU
rnacentral:hammerhead_ribozyme from 1 species